AGGACAGUCAGGGCUAUACAGAGAAACCCUGUCUUGAAAAACUAAACUAAAUUAAACUAAACUAAACUAAAAAAUAUAUAAAAUAAAAAUUUUAAAGAAUUUUAAAAAACUACAGAAAUCAAACAUAAGCCCACGAGAUGGCAAGUAACUGCAAUCAUAGCAGAAAUAUUAUACACACACACACACACAGACUCUGUCAUAAAAUCCAAUGUGCCUUCAUGAUCAAAUUUCGAUAGUCAGUAAUACUAGAAGAAUCAUAUGUCUGAAAAUAAAAGCCAGAACCUUUUCUGCUUUUGUUUUCUUUUGCCCCAAGAUAGGGUUUCUCUCAGUGUAUCCCUGGCAUCCCUGCCUGGAACUUGCUUUGUAGGCUUUGGUAGCCUCAAACUCAGAGAGGUCCUCUCUGCCUGCCUGCCUGCCUGCCUGCCUGCCUGCCUGCCUGCCUGCCUGCCUCACUUCUUCUGCCACCCACACAACCGAGUCGAACCUAGGAUCUUUAUUUCUUUCUCUCUUUCUCUCUUCUUUCUUUCUUUCUUUCUUUCUUUCUUUCUUUCUUUCUUUCUUAUUACAAUUAGUUUUCAAUGUAAGUGUGUGUUUGUGCUCUAUCUGCUGCCUAUAGGCCUGCUUGCCAGGAGAGGGCAACAGAACCUAGGAGAAACCACCAUGCAGCUCCUGAGAAUAAGUGAAAAAACAACAAAAAAAGGAAAUUCUAAUCACAUAGAAUGUAGAUAUAUGCGAGGCUGUCAGAGUGCUUUUUAAGGCUUAGUGUAAGUAAUGAAAAUUGUUGUGUGUCUUUUAUCCAGGGCUAUACAGAGAAACCCUGUCUCGAAAAACCAAAACAAACGAACAAAAAAAAAAAAAAAACCAAGAAACAAAAAUCCAAUGUGCCUUCAUGAUCAAAAUUCAACAGUCAAUAGAACUAGAAGAAUCAUAUAUCUGAAAAUCUUUCGUUCCUUUCUUUCUUCCUUCCUUCCUUCCUUUCUUUCUUUCUUUCUUUCUUUCUUUCUUUCUUUCUUUCUUUCUUAUUAAAAUUAGUUUUCAAUCUAAGUGUGUGUUUGGGCUUUAUCUGCUGCCUAUAUGCCUGCAUGCCAGAAGAGGGCACCAGAACCUCGAAUUAAUUUAAAAAGAGAAAAAAGGAAAUUCUAAUCAUAUAGAAGGUAGAUAUCUGAGUGGCUGUCAGAGUGCUUUUUAAGGCUUACUGUAAAUAAUAAAAAUUGUUGUGUGUCUUUUAUCCAAACACAGAAGGGAGGUGGUUCGCCUGCAUGUCUGUUGUCUGCAUGUCUACUUCCUUGUCCUGUGACUCGGCUGCUCAUUGACCUCACCAAGAUGAAAGGUGACAUGUGGAUGGCAGCCAUCUUGUCUGCUAACUGAACUCCUGCACAACAAGAUGGAGGUGGCUGGCCUUCAUGUGACCUAUUGUUUCAGGUCGCUUUGGUUUCUCCCUUCACCGGGUUCUAGUGGCCCGGUUUGCAAGUGCAGAAUGGUGACGAGGCUCCCUAAAGCAGCCUCGACCAUCCACAGACAGCCUCACGUUUUUCUCCUACUUUUUCCUUAUGCUUUUAAACGGCAGACUCUGAAUUGGUCAGUCUAAAUUCUUUUGGUGAAAUUAAAUUUUAAUUAAAAUGCAUAAUAAAUGAAAAAUAUAACCAGUCUUCUUGGAACUCCUUUCCAGUAACUCAGACUGAAGACUAAGCUAGCUGCAAAGUUACAGUGAUCCACCUCCCUCUGCCACCACCACCACCACUGACUGGCCAUAGCUAGAAUCAUAAAAAGAAAGGGGGGGAAAAAAAGAAAAGAAAAGGUGAGAAUCUUAGCUGGUCAUAGUGAGGUACAACAUUCAUGCCAGCAUUUGAAAAGCAGAGGAAGGCUCUUACAGGAUUGAGGCCUACAAAGUGUCUUCAAGACAGUCAGGGAUGCUUACACUAAGAAACUAUGUAUGAAAAGAAUAAAUGUAAGAAAGAAAGAAAGAAAGUAAGAAAGAAAGAAAGAAAGAAAGAAAGGAAGGAAGGAAGGAAGGAAGAAGAAAAGAAAAAAGAAAAAGAUAAAGAAAGAGAAAAAAGGCAAACUUAGGAGGUCGUUUUAGUUGAUUGAAGAAAUCAUUUCUCUGUGUAGGCAGGCAGGCAGGCAGGCAGCCAUAAUUGUUUGGUUUCUUUUGGUUUGAUAGACAGACAGACAGACAGACAGACAGACAGACUCACAAACACAGAAUAAUAAAAUCACGUCCUCAAUAAUUAUGGCCAGGAGUGGUGUUUGUGUGUGUGUUGCACACGCUCACGUGUUUGUUUGUACGUCUGUCUGUCUGUCUGUCUGUCUGUCUGUCUGUCUGUCUGUGCAGAACUGCAUAUGUCCCAGGACCUAUCACUCAGGGCCACAAUUCAGGUUCCAGUGCUGAACAGUGACCUAGAGUGAAGAUCCUACAGGGUUUUUAAUGCACAAACAUCUAUACCAAGUUAUUCCACCAAUCUGGAUUAGGGAUAGGGGAAUUCCUUAGGAACAUGUCCUU